AUUGAACGCUGGCGGCAGGCCUAACACAUGCAAGUCGAACGGUAACAGGGAGAAGCUUGCUUCUUUGCUGACGAGUGGCGGGCGGGUGAGUAAUGUCUGGGAAACUGCCCUAUGGAGGGGGAGAACUACUGGAAACGGUAGCGAAUACCGCGUAACGUCGCAAGACCAAAGGGGGGGACCUUUUGGCCUCUUGCCAGCGUGUGUGCGCAGAUGUGGGAUUCGCUAGGUGGGGGGGUAACGGCCCACCGAGGCGACGAUCCGUAGCUGGUCUGAGAGGAUGACCAGCCACACUGGAACUGAGACACGGUCCAGACUCCUACGGGAGGCAGCAGUGGGGAAUAUUGCACAAUGGGCGCAAGCCUGAUGCAGCCAUGCCGCGUGUAUGAAGAAGGCCUUCGGGUUGUAAAGUACUUUCAGCGGGGAGGAAGGGAGUAAAGUUAAUACCUUUCCUCAUUGACGUUACCCGCAGAAGAAGCACCGGCUAACUCCGUG
rnacentral:rRNA from 1 species